rnacentral:rRNA from 1 species
UACAGAGGUCUCAAGCGUUGUUCGGAUUCAUUGGGCGUAAAGGGUGCGUAGGUGGCGCCGUAAGUCAGGUGUGAAAUUUCGGAGCUUAACUCCGAAACUGCAUUUGAUACUGCGGUGCUUGAGGACUGGAGAGGAGACUGGAAUUUACGGUGUAGCAGUGAAAUGCGUAGAGAUCGUAAGGAAGACCAGUGGCGAAGGCGGGUCUCUGGAC